rnacentral:rRNA from 1 species
AUUGAACGCUGGCGGAAUGCUUUACACAUGCAAGUCGAACGGCAGCACGGACUUCGGUCUGGUGGCGAGUGGCGAACGGGUGAGUAAUGUAUCGGAACGUGCCCAGUCGUGGGGGAUAACGUAGUGAAAAUUACGCUAAUACCGCAUACGAUCUAUGGAUGAAAGCGGGGGAUCGCAAGACCUCGCGCGAUUGGAGCGGCCGAUAUAAGAUUAGGUAGUUGGUGGGGUAAAGGCCCACCAAGCCAACGAUCUGUAGCUGGUCUGAGAGGACGACCAGCCACACGGGUACUGAGACACGGUCCAGACUCCUACGGGGGGCAGCAGUGGGGAAUUUUGGACAAUGGGCGCAAGCCUGAUCCAGCCAUUCCGCGUGCAGGAUGAAGGCCCUCGGGUUGUAAACUGCUUUUGUACAGAACGAAAAGGUUUCUACUAAUACUAGGAGCUCAUGACGGUACUGUAAGAAUAAGCACCGGCUAACUACGUGCCAGCAGCCGCCGUAA